AAAAGUUAAAUACUGAUAAUAAAUGCAGUCCUCAGCCCCAAACACGGAGGUCAGAGAGGAUCGGUAGUGAAUAGGGUGGAUCUUGGGCCGUAAUUCAUUCCGCUUUGUUUAAAGCUUUUUGAUCCCGUUUACGCUGCUGAAGGGAUUUCAGCCAUUUGAUACAACUCAGUAAUCUGGGCAAAUCUGUGCUACAUCAAAAAAAUACCCAUUGAAUUCUAUUUUUUUUUUUGUAGGUUGUGUAAAUAAGUAAAAAAAAAAUAUAUAUAUAUAUAUAUAUUCAACCUCAACAAGGCACUUGUCAUAACACAAUUCUUUGAAUUUAAAAUACUAAUCACAUAUUUUGUAAAAACAGAAAAAUGCAAUUGACGCAUUAAAAGCAGAUAAAUAAAAUGUUUUUUUUUAAAGUAUUUGAGUAAAAGCGCAUUUUUUUCCCAUUAAAAGUCCAUAAUUUUAUAUCUAUAUAAUUAAACCUGAUCUGUCAGUUACCAGUUAUCCCGCUGGUCUCUUAGGCCUUACCUAGCGGCCAUGUUGGUUCCGCCUCUGAUCUGAACCUCCGUAUUCAUUCCAUCACCCUGCAGUGUUUAGAGUCAGGAUGGCCACCAGCUGAAUAAGGCUAAUUUCCGGUUCCUUUCAGCGGUGGCAUCCCCUUCUCCAGAGCUCCCAUGAAGGUCCAGAGCUGAAGGUCCAGAGCUGAAGGUCCAGAGCUGAAGGUCCAGAGCUCAUAUGAAGGUCCAGAGCUGAAGGUCCAGACCUCAUAUGAAGGCCCAGAGCUCUCAUAUGAAGGUCCAGAGCUGAAGGUCCAGAGCUCAUAUGAAGGCCCAGAGCU